GACGAACGCUGGCGGCGUGCCUAAUACAUGCAAGUUGAGCGCUGAAGGUUGGUACUUGUACCGACUGGAUGAGCAGCGAACGGGUGAGUAACGCGUGGGGAAUCUGCCUUUGAGCGGGGGACAACAUUUGGAAACGAAUGCUAAUACCGCAUAAAAACUUUAAACACAAGUUUUAAGUUUGAAAGAUGCAAUUGCAUCACUCAAAGAUGAUCCCGCGUUGUAUUAGCUAGUUGGUGAGGUAAAGGCUCACCAAGGCGAUGAUACAUAGCCGACCUGAGAGGGUGAUCGGCCACAUUGGGACGGGGACACGGCCCAAACUCCUACGGGAGGCAGCAGUAGGGAACCGUCGGCAAUGGACGAAAGUCUGACCGAGCAACGCCGCGUGAGAGAAGAAGGUUUUCAGAUCGUAAAACUCUGUUGGUAGAGAAGAACGUUGGUGAGAGUGGAAAGCUCAUCAAGUGACGGUAACUACCCAGAAAGGGACGGCUAACUACGUG
rnacentral:rRNA from 1 species